rnacentral:rRNA from 1 species
AAUAGAUACCCGGGUAGUCCACGCCGUAAACGAUGAACACUAGGUGUAGGGGGUGUCGACUCCCCCUGUGCCGAAGCUAACGCAUUAAGUGUUCCGCCUGGGGAGUACGGCCGCAAGGCUAAAACUCAAAGGAAUUGACGGGGGGCCCGCACAAGCAGCGGAGCAUGUGGUUUAAUUGGACGCAACGCCAAGAACCUUACCCGGGCUUGACAUGUUCCUGACCGGCCUGGAAACAGGUCUUCCCUUCGGGGCAGGAUCACAGGUGGUGCAUGGCUGUCGUCAGCUCGUGUCGUGAGAUGUUGGGUUAAGUCCCGCAACGAGCGCAACCCCCGUCGCAUGUUGCCAGCAUUAAGUUGGGGACUCAUGCGAGACUGCCGGUGACAAACCGGAGGAAGGUGGGGAUGACGUCAAGUCAUCAUGCCCCUUAUGUCCGGGGCUACACACGUGCUACAUUGGCGCGUACAGAGGGCUGCGAUACCGCGAGGUGGAGCGAAUCCCUUAAAGCGCGUCUCGGUUCGGAUUGCAGGCUGAAACUCG